rnacentral:rRNA from 1 species
CGAACGCUGGCGGCGUGCUUAACACAUGCAAGUCGAACGCGAACGUUUCCUUCGGGGAACUAGUAGAGUGGCGCACGGGUGAGUAACGCGUAAGUAAUCUACCCUCGCAUCUGGGAUAACCCACCGAAAGGUGUGCUAAUACCUGAUACGUCUAUUUUAAUAUCUUUUUUUUAGAGAAAGGUGGCCUCUUCAUGAAAGCUACUGUGCGGGGAGGAGCUUGCGUACCAUUAGCUAGUUGGUAGGGUAAAGGCCUACCAAGGCGAUGAUGGUUAGCGGGUCUGAGAGGAUGAUCCGCCACACUGGAACUGAAACACGGACCAGACUCCUACGGGAGGCAGCAGUGAGGAAUAUUGCGCAAUGGGGGCAACCCUGACGCAGCGACGCCGCGUGGAUGAUGAAGGCCUUCGGGUUGUAAAAUCCUGUCAGAUGGGAAGAAGUGCUAUAUGGUUAAUAUCUGUAUAGUUUGACGGUACCAUCAAAGGAAGCACCGGCUAACUCC